rnacentral:rRNA from 1 species
UACGGGGGGAGCAAGCGUUGUUCGGAUUUACUGGGCGUAAAGGGCGCGUAGGCGGCGCACCAAGUCACUUGUGAAAUCUCCGGGCUUAACCCGGAGCGGCCAAGUGAUACUGUCGUGCUAGAGUGCGGAAGGGGCUACUGGAAUUCUCGGUGUAGCGGUGAAAUGCGUAGAUAUCGAGAGGAACACCGGCGGCGAAGGCGGGUAGCUGGGCCGACACUGACGCUGAGGCGCGAAAGCCAGGGGAGCGAACGGG